UAAAUCUUAACAUUUGGAUGUCAAAAUUAAAAAUGAGUGUAAUUUGUUGUCUGUUAACCGGUUGGAUUAUAAUAAAUUAUAUACUAUAAGACUGAGUGAGAUUCUAGUUUGUGCUUAUAUAUUUUAUCCAAAAUACAUGGUUGAUAGGAACGGAACUAUACUGGGAUAUCUUAAAAGUGUUUAUUUAUCUGAUUAGGUUUGUGGUUUCUACAUCUGUUGCAACAUCUGGUCAUUCGGGUGCGUAAUUGCCUCCAGCACUUGCCGCUUCCAAACCUUCCUGGGUUAGGAUCGCUAGGACGUGGGAGGUCCAGAAGCAGCAUAACCAAUGGCUGUAGAAUUGGGGGCUCGCGGUUUGAUUCGACAGAAAUGACAUGAACGGGCUCUGUUAACAAAGAUUUGUUUUUACUAAAUAAAUAAUUAAAGGUUA